UACGUAGGGUGCGAGCGUUGUCCGGAAUUAUUGGGCGUAAAGAGCUCGUAGGCGGUGUGUCGCGUCGGCCGUGAAAACCUGGGGCUCAACUCUGGGCGUGCGGUCGAUACGGGCAUCACUUGAGUUCGGCAGGGGAGACUGGAAUUCCUGGUGUAGCGGUGAAAUGCGCAGAUAUCAGGAGGAACACCGGUGGCGAAGGCGGGACUCUGGGCCGAUACUGACGCUGAGGAGCGAAAGCGUGGGGAGCGAACAGG
rnacentral:rRNA from 1 species